UCAAAAACAUGUCUUUUUGAUAAUAUUUAAAGUCUAAUCUGCCCACUGAUAUAAUUAUUAAAGGGCUGCAGUAUAUUGACUGUACAAAGGUAGCAUAAUCAUUAGUCUUUUAAUUGAAGACUUGUAUGAAAGAUUUGAUGAAAUAUAAUCUGUCUCUAUAUUAUUAAUAGAAAUUAAUUUUUUAGUUAAAAAGCUAAAAUAAUAUUAAAAGACGAGAAGUCCCUAUAAAGUUUUAUAAUUUAUUUAUUUAUUAUUAAUUAUAAAAAUAAAUAUAAUAAUUAAAUAAAUUAUUAUAUUGGGGUGAUAGAAAAAUUAAAUAAACUUUUUUUAAUAUAAAACAUAAAUAAGUGAAAAAUUGAUCCAUUAAUAAUGAUUAAAAGAAAAAAUUACUUUAGGGAUAACAGCGUAAAAUUUUUUUUUAGUGCAAAUAAAAAAAAAAGUUUGCGACCUCGAUGUUGGAUUAAGAUAAAAUUUAAAUGCAAAAGUUUAAAAUUUUGAUCUGUUCGAUCAUUAAAAUCUUACAUGAUCUGAGCU
rnacentral:rRNA from 1 species